rnacentral:rRNA from 1 species
UACGAAGGUCCCAAGCGUUAUCCGGAUUUAUUGGGCUUAAAGGGUGCGUAGGCGGGUUAUUAAGUCAGUGGUGAAAGCCUACAGCUUAACUGUAGAAUUGCCAUUGAUACUGAUGAUCUUGAGUAUGAUUGAGGUGGGCGGAAUGUGUCAUGUAGCGGUGAAAUGCUUAGAUAUGACACAGAACACCGAUUGCGAAGGCAGCUCACUAAGUCAUAACUGACGCUGAUGCACGAAAGCGUGGGGAGCAAACAGG